UACGUAGGGCGCAAGCGUUGUCCGGAAUUAUUGGGCGUAAAGAGCUCGUAGGCGGCUUGUCACGUCGGGUGUGAAAGCCCGGGGCUUAACCCCGGGUCUGCAUUCGAUACGGGCAGGCUAGAGUGUGGUAGGGGAGAUCGGAACUCCUGGUGUAGCGGUGAAAUGCGCAGAUAUCAGGAAGAACACCCGUGGCGAAGGCGGCUCUCUGGUACGUGACUGACGCUGAGACGCGAAAGCGUGGGGAGCAAACAGG
rnacentral:rRNA from 1 species